rnacentral:rRNA from 1 species
GACGAACGCUGGCGGCGUGCCUAAUACAUGCAAGUCGAACGCACGAAGUUGAAGAGCUUGCUCUUUAACCAAGUGAGUGGCGGACGGGUGAGUAACACGUGGGUAACCUGCCCAUUAGAGGGGGAUAACAUUCGGAAACGGAUGCUAAUACCGCAUAGUUUCAGGAAUCGCAUGAUUCUUGAAGGAAAGGUGGCUUCGGCUACCACUAAUGGAUGGACCCGCGGCGUAUUAGCUAGUUGGUGAGGUAAUGGCUCACCAAGGCAAUGAUACGUAGCCGACCUGAGAGGGUGAUCGGCCACACUGGGACUGAGACACGGCCCAGACUCCUACGGGAGGCAGCAGUAGGGAAUCUUCCGCAAUGGACGAAAGUCUGACGGAGCAACGCCGCGUGAGUGAAGAAGGUUUUCGGAUCGUAAAACUCUGUUGUUAGAGAAGAACAAGGAUGAGAGUAACUGCUCAUCCCCUGACGGUAUUUAACCAGAAAGCCACGGCUAACUACGUGCCAGCAGCCGCGGUAAUACGUAGGUGGCAAGCGUUGUCCGGAUUUAUUGGGCGUAAAGCGAGCGCAGGCGGUUCUUUAAGUCUGAUGUGAAAGCCCCCGGCUCAACCGGGGAGGGUCAUUGGAAACUGGAGAACUUGAGUGCAGAAGAGGAGAGUGGAAUUCCACGUGUAGCGGUGAAAUGCGUAGAUAUGUGGAGGAACACCAGUGGCGAAGGCGACUCUCUGGUCUGUAACUGACGCUGAGGCUCGAAAGCGUGGGGAGCAAACAGG